rnacentral:rRNA from 1 species
UAGGGAAUCUUCCGCAAUGGACGCAAGUCUGACGGAGCAACGCCGCGUGAGUGAAGAAGGUUUUCGGAUCGUAAAACUCUGUUGUAAGAGAAGAACAAAUUGUAGAGUAACUGCUACAGUCUUGACGGUAUCUUACCAGAAAGCCACGGCUAACUACGUGCCAGCAGCCGCGGUAAUACGUAGGUGGCAAGCGUUGUCCGGAUUUAUUGGGCGUAAAGGGGGCGCAGGCUGCAUCUUAAGUCUGAUGUGAAAGACCACGGCUUAACCGUGGAAGUGCAUUGGAAACUGGGAAGCUUGAGUACAGAAGAGGAAAGUGGAACUCCAUGUGUAGCGGUGGAAUGCGUAGAUAUAUGGAAGAACACCAGUGGCGAAAGCGACUUUCUGGUCUGUCACUGACGCUGAGGCCCGAAAGCGUGGGUAGCAAACAGG